UUGCCCUUGUGCCUUAAAAGAAAAAACACCAACAAAAUCAAGAGUGCAUCUGAGUUCCGUUUUUCACCUCUGCAUCUGCGCUUUGUUCCACAGAACACACCAACGACGCCUCAUCAUCCUUUGCCGGCGACACCCACUGACACCCAAUCCUCCUUCCCCACAACCGCCGACGUCGCCUCCUCUUCCAUCCAUACCCAUCGCAGCGGACACAGCAGCAGAGAGACAAGGAAGAGCACAGCCUCCAUCGCUCUCUAUAGUCUUUUUUUCUCAGGUCCGAUAAAUCAAACUUCUUGGUCGUUUUUUCUUUCUCAACCUUUACAGGUUGCAAUUGUUUUUUUUUUCUCCACAGCUUUCAAUCGAUUUUGAUUUCUUAUUUGCUCGCUUUUGUUAUAUGAUUUGCUUUCAAUCGAUUUCUCCACAUCUUUCAUUUGAUUUUUUUUAUCUGAUUUACUAUAUAUCGUGUCCAUAGACAUGGAAGAAAUCAGUUGUGUGUAUGCUUGUUCCUUAGACAUGGUAGAAAUUAGACUUUGGUAAAGUAAGAAACACACCAGCAAGACUGCAACAAAAACGAUCAAGAAAUUGUUUAUUUGUUUGAAAGAAAGUGUAGUCUUCUUGAAGCAUUGAAUCAGAAGGAAGAUGAGAUUGAUAUGUUAAGAGAAAGUAUUACAAUUUUUUUUGCUAUCUUGAUAAACUUACAAAACAGAUACAAUGGAAAUAAAGAAGAAGUAGAAGCGCUUGAGCAUAUGAUUCUUGAAUUCCAGGCUAAAAUUCAAGAUCUCAUGACAAUGGCAUCUGAUGUUAAUGACAUCACGUCUCGUGUUCAUGAAUUUCUGUGUGACAUGAAGAAAUAAGGUCUGAGAUAAUUGUAAAGGACUGUUUGUGUUGCACGUAUGUCAUAUGAGAAUAUUGAUGUAAACAAUGACUGGUUUGAAUGUAGAAAAGAACUUGAAUCUUCAUAACAUUUGUAUCAUUUGUGUAUAUAUUUUUCUUUUAAUCUUCAUAUUCUUGAGAUUAUUACAUAAAUGGAGUUAAUU
rnacentral:lncRNA from 1 species